AAAUUUCAGCAACUUCCAUCCCUUACAAGUAAGUGAUUUUGGUGAUCAUUUUUGUUGAUUUUUGUGUUUUUGGGAUCCUUGUAGCAUGAGCUAACUAAAAGGGGGGCUAUUUUGCAAAAUGGUUGAAAGUUUAGGGUUUUGCCAUGAAAGCAUUUAUGUUGUUUGCUGAAUUUUUAUGGAAGAAAAUGAGUCUUGGUUGUGUAAUAAAUAACUUUUGUGAAAGGAUUUUCAUGGAAAACACCUAAAAGAGCCAUUUUGUAAAAGUUAUAAAAUAGGUUGUAAUUGUGUGAAAUAGUGGAAAUUUGGGGUUGUCAUAAGAGUAAUAAUUGGUCGGUUAGGCUUGGAUAAUAAGGAAAUUUGAUAAAAAUAAAUUUUCGGGCCUAAGGGUAAAAUGGUCAUUUUGUGAAAGUCUAGGGGCAAAAUGGUCAUUUUUCCAAAAAUGUGAAAUUUUGAUUGUCCAAAUUUAUUUAGUGAUUAAAUGAGUGAAUUUCAUCAUGUUAGAUCAGGAAAAUCAAGAUUUGGGCUUAAAUCGAGAAAGUGCAUGGUUAAAGACAAAAAGAGAAUCAUUAGCCGAAAUUGCAUUUGAGGUAAGUCCGUGUGAUUAAAUGAGCAUGAUAUUUAUGUUAUUGUUAUUAUACUUGAAAAUCUAUCUUUCCAUGAUUGUGUUAAAGUUUAUAUUGAUGAUAUUGUAUAUGAGAAAGUGAUGUCAAAUGUAAAUAACAUUUAUGUGUUGAUUGAAUGCUUGGAGAUUUGAUGGAAUAUGAUAUUCUAUUGAAACGAGUAAGUUGUAUGUAAAUAAUACAACUACAUUGUUAUUAUAUGUGUUUGAAUUGUUAUAGCAUAAAUUGCUUGUUUGUGGAAAUGAUUAUGUAUGGUGAAUUUUGAGAUAGUAGAACUCCUGUAAGAACCUUAGGAACAAAUCGGAUAUUCAUGCCAUGACAUUUGGGUCAUUUGUGCGCUAAUGUAAGACAUGUCUGGGACAUGCACCGGCCACAUUAUGAGAGCCAUUGUAAGACCAUGUCUAGGACAUGACAUCGGCACAGAUAUGUGAGAGCUAGUGUAAGACCAUAUCCUGGACAUAGCGUCGGCCUCGAUUUUGAUAGUCAGUGUAAGACCAUGUCUGGGACAUGACAUCGGCAUUAUACCUUUGUUUGAGGCUUAGUGAAUAUCUGAUAGCUUUUCGAAUGGUUCAACGAUGAGAGUUACGGAUUAAGCUAAAUGAGAAAAGUUAUGACCAUAUUGUGAAUGGUACAGGUACUUACAUGAAAUUGAUGAGAUGUGAAUUCAAUUCAUGCUAUAUGAUUAGUAAGGAAUGAAUCUGAGCAUGUUGAGUAACACAGGUAUGUAUGCCAAGCUCAUGAGAAAUGAUUUCAGUUUAUGAUGCACAUUUAGUGAAUAUGUAAAUAGGUAAUUCAUGCUUGUGAGAAUGAUUUUGUGAUGACCUUUUGUGAUUAUGGGUAUAUACUUAUGAUGUAUGAAUAUGUAACCUUACCAAUGUGGCGAAAAUGAAUUAAUAUGGUGUGAUAAACGUAGUAUCAUUAAUUUACACUAAAACAAUUUUAGACAGCAGCCAUAGUACGACUUUAAAAAUCCACCAAAAAUUUUGGAAAUUGAUUUAGAGGCUGAAUAAAAUAUGAAAUUAAAGCCUAAUGAGUCUAGUUUCACAUAGAAGAAAUGUCUAAGCAAAAGAGUUUCAUAUUAUAAAAUAUUUUAAUUGUUGUGAGAUAGAGUCAGAAUGACUUCGAAAUUCCCUGUUCUGAUUUGAGAAAAUCAUUUAACAUUGUACAAAAAUAUUUAUGAGUUAUAAUUUAUAUGCUUAGAAUUAUUAAUGAGUCUAUUUUCAAGAUAAAUAGACGGGAACAUCAUCCGAGUCCCGUAUUAUGAGAUAAUUAAUUUUUAGUGAAGAGGGGUUAGAAUUGUCAGACAGCGAAAAAGGGUAGCUUUAAGGAAUAAGCUGUACUAAUUGGCUGAACCAAAAAUUCUAAAAAUUUUAUGGUAAGAAGAUAUGUGAGUCUAGUUUCAGGUAAAAUUAGUGGAACUUAAUUUGGAGUUCCGUAGUUCCAGUGACUCGAGAAAACAGCUUGACUGGAACAUGAGUAAAAAUGCAAAUAGGGUUGUAAUACCAUGAGAAGCAAGUUGAUAAAUUGCUUAUUAUUUUCAUACGGUCUUACUAAGCUAUAAAGCUUAAUCCCUUCCUUUCAUUUCCUUUAGUGUUUUCAGGUUAGCUCGGGGUUGGAGAUCGUCAGAGGCAGCGUCGCACUAUCAAAUCGCUACCUUUGGAAUAAUGAAACAUAUAUUAGAAAUUUCAAGUGAGUGGCAUGUAUAGGGAUCUAGUUGAUUGACAUGUAUUAUUUUGCUUUGGCCAAAUGUGUUGGCUUAUAUUAAGUUAUAUGAAUAUGGCCAUGAGAUGUGGCUCAUAUUGGUUUUGG
rnacentral:lncRNA from 1 species